GGGUUAGUGGUCUAGUGGUAUGAUUCUCGCUUUGGGUGCGAGAGGUGCGGGGUUCGAUUCCCCGCUAACCCC
rnacentral:tRNA from 1 species